GGGGCCCUGCCCCCUGCCUCGCGUGUCCCACCCCGAGUCUGUCCCUAGACGCCAGCGGCAGGCAGCCGUGCGGUGCCCGCCCCAGGGACUCUCACCUUCCACAUGCGGGACCACCCUGCCCCACCGGGCCCGUCGGAUGGUGGGGGCUAAAGGAGCCCGGAGCCCAGCCCCCUCACAGUCAGCACACCCCGAGGCCUCUCACCGUGCAGCGUGAGGGAGGCCUGCACACGCAGGAGCAGGGAGCAACCGUCGUGGGGGGCACACCUCAUGGCAGUGGAGAGCGUCAGGGCCUCCAGGAUGGACCUGGACAUGGACGAAGGGGACUGCCGGCAGAAGCUGCUAAGAAUGUUCCCUGAGGAGGGGAGAUGAGGAAGCCAAAACCUGGAGACAGCACAAACGUUCAUCAGCAGGUGAGUGGGCAAACAGAUCGUGGUGUAGCCAUCCAGUGCAACGGGCUUUUGACACACGCCACACACGGAUGAAUCUAGAUAUGAUUACGCAGAGCGAAAGAAUUCAGACACAAGAGUACCCAAUGCCUGAUUCCAUGUGUCUAAAAUUUGAGAAAAUGUGAGCUAAUCGCUAUGGAAAGAAAGCAGAUAUGUGGUUGUCCAUUAUCCUGAAGGAGUAUGCACAAGACGCAGGUGGUGUCCUUGGCGAGAUGUCGUGCUGAGCUGGGCCCCAGAAGAGCGGGUUUCUCCCAACCCAGUUUAAAUUUGUACAAGACCAUGGGGCGCCUGGGUGGCUCAGUCAGUUAGCUGUCCGACUUCAGCUCAGGUCAUGAUCUUGCAGUUCGUGGGU